rnacentral:ncRNA from 2 species
AAAUAGGUUUCACUCCGAGCCGGGUUCACCUAAAGGCAAAACUAUGGUGACCGGCCAGGGCCAAUAGCCCUCAGGGUAUGUCUGGAAACGGAUGUGCCUUCACGUUUUGAAAAGGAGAUGGUAAAGCCGAU